rnacentral:misc_RNA from 1 species
GAUGAAGAACGUAGCGAACUGCGAUAAGUAAUGUGAAUUGCAGAAUUCAGUGAAUCAUCGAGUCUUUGAACGCACAUUGCGCCCCCUGGCAUUCCGGGGGGCAUGCCUGUCCGAGCGUCAUUGCUGCCCUUCAAGCCCGGCUUGUGUGUUGGGUCGUCGUCCCCCCCGGGGGACGGGCCCGAAAGGCAGCGGCGGCACCGCGUCCGGUCCUCGAGCGUAUGGGGCUUUGUCACCCGCUCGAUUAGGGCCGGCCGGGCGCCAGCCGGCGUCUCCAACCUUCUAUUUUACCAGGUUGACCUCGGAUCAGGUAGGGAUACCCGCUGAACUUAAGCAUAUCAAUAAGCGGAGG